rnacentral:tRNA from 1 species
UGUUCUGUGGUUUAGUUGGUUAAAGCGCCGGUCUAGCGAAUACGACGCCAUGGGUCCGAAUCCCAUCAGAUCGA